rnacentral:rRNA from 1 species
CAAUAUUCCUGCACCAUUGUUAGAUGCGAUGGGGGGACGGAUCGCGGAAGGUUGUCCGGGUGUUGGAAGUCCCGGUCGCUGCAUUGGAGAAGGCGCUUAGGCAAAUCCGGGCGCAGGAUUCAAGGGUGUGGCGCGAGCUCCUUCGGGAGCGAAGCAAUUGGAAGUGGUUCCAAGAAAAGCCUCUAAGCUUCAGUCUAACGAUGACCGUACUGCAAACCGACACAGGUGGGCGAGAUGAGUAUUCUAAGGCGCUUGAGAGAACUCGGGAGAAGGAACUCGGCAAAUUGGUACCGUAACUUCGGGAUAAGGUACGCCCUGGUAGCUUGACUGGCCUGCGCCAGAAGGGUGAAGGGGUUGCAAUAAACUGGUGGCUGCGACUGUUUAAUAAAAACACAGCACUCUGCAAACACGAAAGUGGACGUAUAGGGUGUGACGCCUGCCCGGUGCCGGAAGAUUAAAUGAUGGGGUGCAAGCUCUUGAUUGAAGUCCCGGUAAACGGCGGCCGUAACUAUAACGGUCCUAAGGUAGCGAAAUUCCUUGUCGGGUAAGUUCCGACCUGCACGAAUGGCGUAACGAUGGCCACACUGUCUCCUCCCGAGACUCAGCGAAGUUGAAGUGUUUGUGAUGAUGCAAUCUACCCGCGGCUAGACGGAAAGACCCCAUGAACCUUUACUGUAGCUUUGCAUUGGACUUUGAACCGAUCUGUGUAGGAUAGGUGGGAGGCUAUGAAACCGGAACGCUAGUUUCGGUGGAGCCGUCCUUGAAAUACCACCCUGGUUUGUUUGAGGUUCUAACCUUGGCCCGUGAUCCGGGUCGGGGACAGUGCAUGGUAGGCAGUUUGACUGGGGCGGUCUCCUCCCAAAGCGUAACGGAGGAGUACGAAGGUACGCUAGGUACGGUCGGAAAUCGUGCUGAUAGUGCAAUGGCAUAAGCGUGCUUAACUGCGAGACCGACAAGUCGAGCAGGUGCGAAAGCAGGUCAUAGUGAUCCGGUGGUUCUGUAUGGAAGGGCCAUCGCUCAACGGAUAAAAGGUACUCUGGGGAUAACAGGCUGAUACCGCCCAAGAGUUCAUAUCGACGGCGGUGUUUGGCACCUCGAUGUCGGCUCAUCUCAUCCUGGGGCUGUAGCCGGUCCCAAGGGUAUGGCUGUUCGCCAUUUAAAGAGGUACGUGAGCUGGGUUUAAAACGUCGUGAGACAGUUUGGUCCCUAUCUGCCGUGGGCGUUGGAAGUUUGAAGGGGGCUGCUCCUAGUACGAGAGGACCGGAGUGGACGAACCUCUGGUGUACCGGUUGUGACGCCAGUCGCAUCGCCGGGUAGCUAUGUUCGGAAGAGAUAACCGCUGAAAGCAUCUAAGCGGGAAACUCGCCUUAAGAUGAGACUUCCCCGGGGACUUGAUCCCCUUGAAGGGUCGUUCGAGACCAGGACGUUGAUAGGUCGGGUGUGUAAGCGCAGUAAUGCGUUCAGCUAACCGAUACUAAUUGCCCGUACGGCUUGAUCCUAUAACA